AUUACUGUAUUUAUAGUUCCAAACUUCCAUUUGGUCUCACUUUAUAGCUUCUUUUUAUUUAUUGAGACUUUCUAAUUCUUGGAUUAUUUCAAGCAUGUUCAUAAAUACUCACUGAAGCAUUUUUAUGAUAACUGCUUUAAGCUCCGUGUCAGAUAAUGCUAACAUCUGUGCCAUCUCAUUAUCAUCAUUAUUUUUUUACUCAAAUUGAUAUUUUCUUGGGUCUGGUAUGAUGUUCUUGUGUCAUGAAUUUUUUAUUGAAACCUGGACAUUUUUAGUAGUAUGUAAUGAAACUGUGGGGUUUUAAAAAAAAUCUAUUUUAGCAGACCUCCUCUGACAGCAUGCCAGUGGAAGAAAGGGUACACUACCUCAUUACUGUCAAGUUAAGGUUCCCCACUGGGCCACUACUGACACCCCAGUGUUGAACAGCUCCUCGUUACUGCUAUGUGGGGGUGGGAGUUCAGGCAUACCACUAGAUUUCUUCUGAUACUACUGGGGAUGCAAGGGACAUGUGUUUCUGUCUGGCUGGGGUGAAAGUCUGAGCUCCAUACUUAGCCUACUUUGACACUACCAUGGUGAUGAAUGGGAGAGAGGUUAUUUGCUACAGCAUGAUGAAAGUGGGAAUCCAGGCUCUCCACUUUGCCUUUGCUGGCUGGGGUGGUGCUGGGACCAUGGUUUUUUCCAUGGUGUUUGACUGAAAUAGAAUGGUUAUUAAGGAGAAGUUUUCUAUCUUUCUAGGCUGACCCUUUCAUGAUUCUUUGGCUAGAGAGGGAAAUAUUUUCAUUGGCUUUUUAUGUCAGUUCCCAUUGGUAUGUUUGGGUUUCUGGCUUCUCCAGCACCACAUUUGGGAUACAUAGGCAAAAAAGAAACUCACCUCAAGUGAGUCACCCCUCAGGUUCUGAGGUUCCUAGCUGGUCUGACUUAUCUCCACCUUUCAGAGUCUUAUUAUAUUUGUUUUAUAUAUAAUAUUCAGCAUUUUUAUCUGUUGUUCAUAGGAGAAAUAGGGAAAAAUCAGUCCCAGAAAUUUCAGUGGACUUUGAGGUAACUCUGAAUUCCUUAAAGGAGUCACACUGUAUUCUGUGUGUAUUACUGGAUCUGAAGCUCUCCACUGUUUUAAUCCUGACCUUCUUUGGAUCUUUGAUUUCCUUCUGGUAUGACAGCCCCUAAUUAUAUUGACCAAUGAUUGUGAAGAAAGAACUUAGUUGACUAGAAGAAGAUUUAAGGUAAGCUUGUUUGUAGCCCCUGUGCUCUGUCAACAUAAUAUUUAAAGUACUCCUGGAGUUCACUAGUUAUAACUAUUUACAGAGCUAAUGAACUAGAACUAGCUUUGCCUAGAACUUGACUUUCCCUGAAAGUGGCUGUCCUUGCCUUCCAGGCCCAGCCUGGUUGACAGAUGAGUCCUAACCUUGGAGGGACCUGGCUUGGAUUCUUGAAGCUGUUCAGCAUUCAGGAAGGUGUCCUGGCUUAGGUGAGGACUUAUUGGGAUCAGGAAAUUUAGAGCCUACCAAACAAUGUGGUACCAAGUGCUGGGGGCUGCUAGAUGACUAAGCUCCCUUGCAGAUAAAAGGAAUAUCUUACCUGGGGGCGGGGAAGUGAGGAGGAAGGUAAUGGCCAUGAUUACUGAGAGUUAUAUACAGAACAAAUCCACCUCACUGAGGUGUGUGGGCAGAAGUUUAGGAAUGUUCUCCACUUUUCCUUUCCACAGGUGCUGCCUUAGGAGUUUCCCUACCUUUAAUUGCAUGGUAUUUGCUACUUUUUCCCAUCCCCUCUCUGAGGCUUAGCAAAGCACUGGAUGUCUAAAAAAGAGGGGCACUUUGAGCUAGCAAUGUUGACCACUUAGACACACAAAUCCUUUCCCAUAAAAGCAGGG
rnacentral:lncRNA from 1 species